rnacentral:rRNA from 1 species
ACUCCUACGGGAGGCAGCAGUAGGGAAUCUUCCACAAUGGACGAAAGUCUGAUGGAGCAACGCCGCGUGAGUGAAGAAGGGUUUCGGCUCGUAAAACUCUGUUGUUAAAGAAGAACAUAUCUGAGAGUAACUGUUCAGGUAUUGACGGUAUUUAACCAGAAAGCCACGGCUAACUACGUGCCAGCAGCCGCGGUAAUACGUAGGUGGCAAGCGUUGUCCGGAUUUAUUGGGGCGUAAAGCGAGCGCAGGCGGUUUUUAAGUCUGAUGUGAAAGCCUUCGGCUCAACCGAAGAAGUGCAUCGGAAACUGGGAAACUUGAGUGCAGAAGAGGACAGUGGAACUCCAUGUGUAGCGGUGAAAUGCGUAGAUAUAUGGAAGAACACCAGUGGCGAAGGCGGCUGUCUGGUCUGUAACUGACGCUGAGGCUCGAAAGUAUGGGUAGCAAACAGGAUUAGAUACCCUGGUAGGAAAGCG